AUUUCUCUGGGAUGUUCGCAAGCGGGCCAGUCCCCUGAGCCGAUAUUUCAUACCACAAGAAUGUGGCGCUCCGCGGUUGGUGAGCAUGCUCGGUCCGUCCGAGAAGCCUUAAAACUGCGACGACACAUUCACCUUGAACCAAGGGUUCAAGGGUUACAGCCUGCGGCGGCAUCUCGGAGAUUCC
rnacentral:other from 1 species